CAAGCCCCUUGGCGGAGGCGGAGGACUGCUGGCCCUCAGCAAGGCCCCCGCGCUCAAUAAAACGCAACUGCCCCUCCUGGUGUUCCUGACAGGGGCUUCGUGGGCCGAGCGGAGGGUGGGGGAAUUAGGCCCCUAACUCAAGCCACCCUUUCCCAGGGCAGGUACUCCCACCCACGCCUCUCCGCUUUCUUCUCCCUUCAGCUUUCCUACACUUGGCAGGGCACCUCUGCACCACACCUGCGGAGAAACCAGCUGGGCAGCUUCUCCGCGUCGGGCUGGGAAGGAGCGCCCAGGAGGUGGGAAUAGCAGCGCGGCACUUGCAGGGGUCCCACCAGCAGGUAAUAAAGCCGAGAUCUCGAACACAGCCGAUCUGAGUCCUACCAGAAAGUACCUGCCUACCUGUGCUGUGCUGUCUGUAAGAUGCAGCUACUUUUUGCAGAAGGAAUCUACUCUCCUGCAUGUUACAUAUCCUCCUCAAGUGAUUGGUCUGCCCAGAGCUGUGGAUGGGAUGCUUGCAGUUCUGCUACUUCAUCACUGGAGGGAGCAAAGAGCUAUUGUUUCAUGGCUGGCCCAGACUUCUAGACAGGAGAGGCUCUGGCAGAAAAGCUGGGGGCAUUUCCCUCCU